GUCAAGAGGAAAACAAUCCAGACCGCCAGCUAAGGCCCCAAAAUCAUAGUUAAGUGGGAAACGAUGUGGGAAGGCAUAGACAGCUAGGAGGUUGGCUUAGAAGCAGCCACCCUUUAAAGAAAGCGUAAUAGCUCACUAGUCGAGUCGGCCUGCGCGGAAGAUGUAACGGGGCUAAAACUAUGUGCCGAAGCUGCGGAUGUAUACUUUGUAUACGUGGUAGGGGAGCGUUCUGUAAGCCGAUGAAGGUGUGUUGAGAAGCAUGCUGGAGGUAUCAGAAGUGCGAAUGCUGACGUGAGUAACGACAAAACGGGUGAAAAACCCGUUCGCCGAAAGACCAAGGGUUCCAGUCCAACGUUAAUCGGGGCUGGGUGAGUCGACCCCUAAGGCGAGGCCGAAAGGCGUAGUCGAUGGGAAAAUGGUUAAUAUUCCAUUACUUCUGUGUAAUGCGAUGAGAGGACGGAGAAGGCUAAAUCAGCCUGGCGUUGGUUGUCCAGGUGAAAGGAUGUAGGCAUGUAUCUUAGGCAAAUCCGGGGUACUCUAUGCUGAGAUCUGAUAGCAAGCUGUACUUGUACAGCGAAGUGGUUGAUGCCAUGCUUCCAGGAAAAGUCUCUAAGCUUCAGUUACACAGGAAUCGUACCCGAAACCGACACAGGUGGUCAGGUCGAGUAGACCAAGGCGCUUGAGAGAACUCUGCUGAAGGAACUAGGCAAAAUGGUACCGUAACUUCGGGAGAAGGUACGCUGUUGUUGGUGAUGGAACUCGCUUCCUGAGCUGACGACAGCCGCAGAAACCAGGCCGCUGCAACUGUUUAUUAAAAACAUAGCACUCUGCAAACACGAAAGUGGACGUAUAGGGUGUGAUGCCUGCCCGGUGCUGGAAGGUUAAUUGAUGGGGUUAGCGUAAGCGAAGCUCUUGAUCGAAGCCCCAGUAAACGGCGGCCGUAACUAUAACGGUCCUAAGGUAGCGAAAUUCCUUGUCGGGUAAGUUCCGACCUGCACGAAUGGCAUAAUGAUGGCGGCGCUGUCUCCAGCAGAGGCUCAGUGAAAUCGAAAUCGCUGUGAAGAUGCAGUGUACCCGCGGCUAGACGGAAAGACCCCGUGAACCUUUACUGCAGCUUGACACUGAACUUUGACCUUACUUGUGUAGGAUAGGUGGGAGGCUUUGAAGCUGGAACGCUAGUUCCAGUGGAGCCGUCCUUGAAAUACCACCCUGGUAAUGUUGAGGUUCUAACUCUGUCCCGUGAUCCGGGACGAGGACCGUGUCUGGUGGGUAGUUUGACUGGGGCGGUCUCCUCCUAAAGAGUAACGGAGGAGUACGAAGGUGCGCUCAGCGUGGUCGGAAAUCACGCGUAGAGUAUAAAGGCAAAAGCGCGCUUAACUGCGAGACCCACAAGUCGAGCAGGUACGAAAGUAGGUCUUAGUGAUCCGGUGGUUCUGUAUGGAAGGGCCAUCGCUCAACGGAUAAAAGGUACUCUGGGGAUAACAGGCUGAUACCGCCCAAGAGUUCAUAUCGACGGCGGUGUUUGGCACCUCGAUGUCGGCUCAUCUCAUCCUGGGGCUGAAGCAGGUCCCAAGGGUAUGGCUGUUCGCCAUUUAAAGAGGUACGCGAGCUGGGUUUAGAACGUCGUGAGACAGUUCGGUCCCUAUCUACCGUGGGCGCUGGAAAUUUGAGAGGAUCUGCUCCUAGUACGAGAGGACCAGAGUGGACGAACCUCUGGUGUACCGGUUGUGACGCCAGUCGCAUCGCCGGGUAGCUAUGUUCGGAAGGGAUAACCGCUGAAAGCAUCUAAGCGGGAAGCCUACCUCAAGAUAAGAUUUCCCUAGGACUUUAUGUCCUCUAAAGAGCCGUUCGAGACUAGGACGUUGAUAGGUUGGAUGUGGAAGCAUAGUGAUAUGUGAAGCUGACCAAUACUAAUUGCUCGUGAGGCUUGACUAU
rnacentral:rRNA from 1 species